UAAGCAGGUAGUGAAAGCGUGUGGCUCAACCAUACUCACAUUACUUGAACUGCAAAGCUAGAGGACAAGAGAGGUCACUGGAAUUCCUAGUGUAGGAGUGAAAUCCGUAGAUAUUAGGAGGAACACCGAUGGCGUAGGCAGGUGACUGGCUUGUUCCUGACGCUCAGGCACGAAAGCGUGGUAGCAAACGGGAUUAGAUACCCCGGUAGUCCACGCCGUAAACGAUGGAUGCUA
rnacentral:rRNA from 1 species